AAUAGAUGACGCCGUUGAUUUUUUCUCACAUGUUUGAUCAUUCGUCUUAUUCAAAAAAAUUUAUAUAAUUAUAAUUUAUUUUGUUAUGAGUUGUUUUAUCACUCAUGAUACUUUAAGUGUGAUUUAUAUCUUAUAUAUUUGUAUAAAUUUUUUGAAUAAGACGAAUGGUCAAACAUGUGAUAAAAAGUCAAUGGCGUCAUCUAUU
rnacentral:pre_miRNA from 1 species